CCUACGGGAGACAGCAGUGGGGAAUAUUGCGCAAUGGGCGAAAGCCUGACGCAGCGACGCCGCGUGAGGGAUGAAGGUCUUCGGAUCGUAAACCUCUGUCAGCAGGGAAGAACGGUCACUGUGCUAAUCAGCAGUGACUUGACGGUACCUGCAAAGGAAGCACCGGCUAACUCCGUGCCAGCAGCCGCGGUAAUACGGAGGGUGCGAGCGUUAAUCGGAAUUACUGGGCGUAAAGCGCUCGUAGGCGGUAUGUCAAGUCAAGGGUGAAAUCCCCGCGCUUAACGUGGGAACUGCCUUUGAAACUGGCAAACUGGAGUGUGUGAGAGGAUAGUGGAAUUCCAGGUGUAGGAGUGAAAUCCGUAGAUAUCUGGAGGAACAUCAGUGGCGAAGGCGACUAUCUGGCACAUAACUGACGCUGAGGAGCGAAAGCGUGGGUAGCAAACAGGAUUAGAUACCCUUGUAGUC
rnacentral:rRNA from 1 species